AUGCCGAAUACGACUGCGCUGGCAACUUCGCUGGAGGGCAUGACAACCCAUGGCGAGGUAUUUAAGAUGAAGCUGCUCAUGUACUUGAUCUCAGCUGUCUUUGCGCCUACCACGUCUCUUCGCCCAAGCAACAAGUGCUUCCCCAUCCUGGCGAAGCUGAAAGACGUGAAGAAAAUUAAUUGGUGUAAAUUCAUCGCUGACUUCCUGCAUGAUGCAUUCUCAACCAAGAUGUACCUGAAGGGUUGUCGCUUGCACCUAAUGCUCAUGUAUGUCGAUGCUCUUGAUCUGUCCACCAUUGACUUUACCGGGAUAGGAGGCCCGCCACCUGCACAUAAGUUUGUUGUCUCUGCAUGGACUGAUGCUGCUGUCAAGGCUGUGCUUGCCGCAGACAGAAUAACCGAUACUUUACAUCUGAUGGCCAAGAAUGCUAUAGACUACAAUGUGUUUGGUGGGCCACAAAACUUUGGCAAGUGGAUGGAUGUGCAUUCAGCUCCAUCUUGUCCUACUGAGGCGAGGGCACCUGUUGAGCAUCUAGUUGGGCAGUUUGCCUCCGGCAUGACCAGCUUGCUCGGGAAGUUGGUUGAGGGUUGGACGACACUUAAUGGCUCCGACAGCGACGCGGAGCUUCCUGACACGCAAGAUGAUCUAGAUGGAGACGCUGGUCUCGACAAGGACGAUGAUGAUGAGAUGGAGAAUGUGCAACAUGCAACCGACGACGAUGAACAUGAUGAAGUUCAUGCAGGUGGUACGAAGGGUAAGGCUGCACUAGAUGUCCCUCCAGCGGAGGAAGCAGUUGAACAAACAGGUCCGGGAGACACGGGGGUGUCGCCGUCAAAGAGGGGCAGAGUUCCAGAGGAUGUUGGGCAGGGCUCUGUUGGCAAGAGGUCUAGGACCGAUCCCGUAGCUGCUAGGAGGAGGCUCGACAUCUAUUCAGUGUUCUUUUUAUCUCCUUUUCAAUAG
rnacentral:rRNA from 1 species